UGGGGAAUAUUGGACAAUGGGCGCAAGCCUGAUCCAGCCAUGCCGCGUGAGUGAUGAAGGCCCUAGGGUUGUAAAGCUCUUUCGCCAGGGACGAUAAUGACGGUACCUGGAUAAGAAGCCCCGGCUAACUUCGUGCCAGCAGCCGCGGUAAUACGAAGGGGGCUAGCGUUGUUCGGAAUCACUGGGCGUAAAGCGCACGUAGGCGGAUCUUUAAGUCAGGGGUGAAAUCCCGAGGCUCAACCUCGGAACUGCCUUUGAUACUGGAGGUCUCGAGUCCGGGAGAGGUGAGUGGAACUGCGAGUGUAGAGGUGAAAUUCGUAGAUAUUCGCAAGAACACCAGUGGCGAAGGCGGCUCACUGGCCCGGUACUGACGCUGAGGUGCGAAAAGCGUGGGGAGCAAACAGGAUUAGAUACCCUGGUAGUCCACGCCGUAAACUAUGGAUGCUAGCCGUUGGGCAGCUUGCUGUUCAGUGGCGCAGCUAACGCUUUAAGCAUCCCGCCUGGGGAGUACGGUCGCAAGAUUAAAAACUUAAAGGAAUUGACGGGGUCAUAACUGUUUCCU
rnacentral:rRNA from 1 species